rnacentral:misc_RNA from 1 species
GAUGAAGAACGUAGCGAAAUGCGAUACGUAAUGUGAAUUGCAAAUUCAGUGAAUCAUCGAGUCUUUGAACGCACAUUGCGCCCCCUGGUAUUUCGGGGGGCAUGCCUGUCCGAGCGUCAUUGCUGCCCUCAAGCACGGCUUGUGUGUUGGGCCCCGUCCUCCGAUCCCGGGGGACGGGCCCGAAAGGCAGCGGCGGCACCGCGUCCGGUCCUCGAGCGUAUGGGGCUUUGUCACCCGCUCUGUAGGCCCGGCCGGCGCUUGCCGAUCGACCCAAAUUUUUAUCCAGGUUGACCUCGGAUCAGGUAGGGAUACCCGCUGAACUUAAGCAUAUCAAUAAGCGGAGGA